AGCAGCCGCGGUAAUUCCAGCUCCAAUAGCGUAUAUUAAAGUUGCUGCAGUUAAAAAGCUCGUAGUUGAAUUUCGGGACUAAUAUGUCGGUCGUGCCUCGGUACGUACUGGUAUUUUUGGUUUCUCCCUUCUGACGAACCUUGAUGUCAUUAAUUUGGUGUCUUGGGAAAUCAGGACUGUUACUUUGAAAAAAUUAGAGUGUUUAAAGCAGGCUCACGCUUGAAUACAUUAGCAUGGAAUAAUGAAAUAGGACGUUUGAUUCUAUUUUGUUGGUUUCUAGGAUCGACGUAAUGAUUAAUAGGGAUAGUUGGGGGCAUUAGUAUUCAAUUGUCAGAGGUGAAAUUCUUGGAUUUAUUGAAGACUAACUACUGCGAAAGCAUUUGCCAAGGAUGUUUUCAUUAAUCAAGAACGAAAGUUAGGGGAUCGAAGACGAUCAGAUACCGUCGUAGUCUUAACCAUAAACUAUGCCGACUAGGGAUCGGAUGAUGUUAAUUUUUAAUGACUCAUUCGGCGCCUUACG
rnacentral:rRNA from 1 species